UAUAUAGAGCUCGUGCAUUCACGUCACCGAAGUCACAUGACUGGGCAUAUUGACAGUCUAACAUAGCAUUCUUCAAUGCUAAGUCGGUUGGAGAUGGCACGAAAAUAUCUUAUAGCACGACGCCCUGAGUUUUGCCCGAUAUCAUUAAACAUUUAGAAGGUGAUAAACGAAGAUAAGAAAUUGGACUAUUAACCAGCAUCCACUUGUCUUGGACAACUGGAUCUACACAUGUAUCUGUUUCACUGUUGUAACCUGCUGAUGACACCCUGUGACACUCAAAGCUCACCCACCACUUCCCUCUGGGAACAUCCUCUUUGAAGCAUCGCAAUGGUGAGGUAUCUUUGAUCAAUUGUUGGGUGUCAUCUUGUUCUCGUGAU